AAAAAGGUUUUCAUCAAAACCACCCUAUUUUUGUCAUGAUUUACAU
rfam:Tyto alba contig94346, whole genome shotgun sequence.